GACGAACGCUGGCGGCGUGCUUAACACAUGCAAGUCGAACGGAAAGGCCCUGCUUUUGUGGGGUGCUCGAGUGGCGAACGGGUGAGUAACACGUGAGUAACCUGCCCUUGACUUUGGGAUAACUUCAGGAAACUGGGGCUAAUACCGGAUAGGAGCUCCUGCUGCAUGGUGGGGGUUGGAAAGUUUCGGCGGUUGGGGAUGGACUCGCGGCUUAUCAGCUUGUUGGUGGGGUAGUGGCUUACCAAGGCUUUGACGGGUAGCCGGCCUGGAAGGGUGACCGGCUCCAUUGGGAUUAGGGAGGCGCCCGGGCUCAAUCGGGGGCAAGGGGGGGGAACUUGUGCCAGAUGGGCGGAGGCGUGGACGAAGACCGCCGGGUGGGGAAGCCCGGCUUUUGGGUGUGAAACCCUUUUGGCUUGUACCGAGCGGUCGGGACGGGAAAUGAAGAAAAAGCCCCGGCUAACCUCGUU
rnacentral:rRNA from 1 species